GCAGAAUGAAAGAGACAAGUAAAUAUAGAGAGUGGCUGACGACGACGAGGUCGAGGAAGUCUGGCGGCACGACUGUAAAAGGCACAUGUAUCACAUGGGAGAGUGACAAUACUUAUGUGAGAUUUGUGUAGAGAUGUUGUGUUUAUAUUAGUGCACUAAAAUUCUCCAAAAUUCAUGAAAUAUUAGAAUCCUUGGAAAUUUCAAUACCACUAGAUUUUGAUGGAUAUUUAAAAGUUAUAAUUGAACACCAACAGAUUUAUAACGAUUUUUUAAAAAUUUGAAUUGAAUAUCUAUGAACAUUUGAAAUACAAAAAAAAAAUCUUAUAGAAUCUUAAUUGAAUAAACCCCGUUAGAGCCCAGUUCAUUAAAUUCAAAAUAAAUUUAAUGUGUUUUUUAGUUAUCGACGUUUUUAUAUACUCUUUUUCUCCAAAAUAAUUUAAUAUCUUUCUUUUUGGAUUCUCCAAAAUAAUACUAUUCUUAUUUUUUUUACCACUCUCAAUAUUAGUUAUAACACAUUUUUAUAAUUAUUAAUACUCCCUCCGUCCACGAAUUAAAGCCCCAUUUCAUGUUCGGCACAAAGACUAAGAAAACUGAUAAAGGUGUUGUGAGUUAAAUAUAAGGGUAGUUGACUAAAUUGAUAAAGUAGUUGACUAAAGUGUUAAAGGUGUUGUGUGGUGGGUCCGCUAGUGAUAAAGUGUAAUAAAUAUAGAAUAUAAAAAUGAUAACGUUGUUGUAAGGUGGGUCCAUUAGUGGCAAAUGGUAGUAAAUAUAGGAAAAAAAGAAGAGUAAAAAGUAAAUAAAAGCACAAUAGGGCUUUAAUUGGUGGACAAAAAUUUAAGUACAAGUAGGGCUUUAAUUCUAAUAUUUUUAAUUAUUUUUAAUACAUUUAGUAAUUUUGGUUUAAAACUCGUACGAAGUUAUUUGGGGAUAUACUCCCUCUGUCUCACCUCUAUAGUCCACUUCUCCUUUUCACGCAUAUUAAGAAAAUGCAAUAAAUAGUGCUUGAAAAAUUAAAAUAGUAGUACUUGAAAAAUACAAAAUAUAUGUAAUUAUUCAAUUUUGCCCUUAUUUAUUCUAUGUUUGACUAUAUUUAGAUAAGGUUAUUUUUGGUAAAAAAAAAAUUAAUGCUAAUUUAAUUUAGAAAGUGAACUAUAUUUUGAGACAUCUAAAAAAGGAAUAAGAGACUAUGAAGGUGGGACGGAGGGAGUAGGAAGUGGAGUAUAUUCUUUUUAAUUUAUUAAAAUUCUUAAGUUGCGAUUUUAUUUGUUUUUAGAGAAGUUUGCGAGUUGUUAUUUUCCCUCAAUAUAUAACAAUUUGGUUGAAAUUUCGAAUUUGACAUCAGUAGGCCGAAACGCGGACAACUGGAUGUGGUCCCAUGUUUAUGAUCACAUAUUCAACUACUUGCACGUGCGCGGCGGAUUAGGACUUUGAAAUAAUUAACUGGAUUGGAUUAUGAAGAUUAUGUCCGAACACAGGCUUUAACCGUGGGGUCCAGUUAUUUUUCGGUGCUUUAUCAUUUCAUUUCUUUUAAACUUUUAUAAGUAUUUUCUUUAUUAAAUAAGGGUGAAGGCAUACCUCAAAUAAAUACUAGUAGUACCUUAGACUGUCUUUACUUUAUAUCAAUAUAAAAACUUGUGCUACUAAUAAAUAUCCA
rnacentral:lncRNA from 1 species